GAUGAACGCUAGCGGCAGGCUUAAUACAUGCAAGUCGAGGGGCAGCAUAAGUAGCAAUACUUGAUGGCGACCGGCAAACGGGUGCGGAACACGUACGCAACCUUCCUUUAAGUGGGGAAUAGCCCGGGGAAACCCGGAUUAAUACCCCGUAAUAUUAUGAUGUGGCAUCACUUUAUAAUUAUAGAUUCAUCGCUUAAAGAUGGGCGUGCGCCUGAUUAGGUAGUUGGCGGGGUAACGGCCACCAAGCCUGCGAUCAGUAACUGGUGUGAGAGCACGACCAGUCACACGGGCACUGAGACACGGGCCCGACUCCUACGGGAGGGCAGCAGUAAGGAAUAUUGGUCAAUGGACGCAAGUCUGAACCAGCCAUGCCGCGUGAAGGAUGAAGGCCUU
rnacentral:rRNA from 1 species